UACGAAGGGGGCUAGCGUUGCUCGGAAUGACUGGGCGUAAAGGGCGCGUGGGCGGAUGGUACAGUCAGAUGUGAAAUUCCUGGGCUUAACCUGGGGGCUGCAUUUGAUACGUAUUGUCUAGAGUGAGGAAGAGGGUCGUGGAAUUCCCAGUGUAGAGGUGAAAGUCGUAGAUAUUGGGAAGAACACCGGUGGCGGAGGCGGCGACCUGGUCCUUGACUGACGCUGAGGCGCGAAAGCUAGGGGAGCAAACGGG
rnacentral:rRNA from 1 species